AAUUUCAGCUGAAAAAGUCAUGAACAUGAAAGUUGCAGAGCUCAUCAAGACAUACAACUUUUAUUUUGGUUAUUUCUUCAUCUGAUAAAUUGAUAAUAAUACUGUUCACAAAGUUUACAUAUGAGAUAGAUGCAAAUUUUGUGAACAAUGUUACUAUCACUUUGUCGGAUGAAGAAAUGACCAAAAUAAAAGUUAUAGAUCUUGAUGAAUUAUACAACUUUGUUGUUGAUGACUUUUUCAGUUGAAAUC
rnacentral:pre_miRNA from 1 species